CCGCCUCCAAGAAGGAAUCAGGAGAGCCAGUAUGGCACACUAGGACAUUGUCCUUAGUUCUAGAACCUCUAGUCUCCUAGCAACGGAACCAUAGAACUUCCGUAAACAUUUAGGUCUUUAUAGCAAUCCGGAGCAGCACUUCCCUGGCUCUCCCUCUUCCCAACCUUCUUUCCCGGACUCCCAAUCCCCUGAGGCCCAUCAUAGGGUCCCCUUAGAACUUUCCGUCCCCCCUCCUGCCGAGUACCCUAAGAUUUCAACCAAUUAGCCGGGUCGGGGACUGCAUGUUGGCUGUCUUGCCUAAGGAAGUGCCUUGGCAGAAAAGGAGGAAGAAGGGCUCUGGAGGGAAUAGGGAAGGGAGUUGUUCUGAGAGCCCCUCCCUUCAACUUAGUAGGCAAAACAACCAAUUUUUUCAAGGACAGAACUGAGUCAGUAGGAUGUUUGAGCUAUAGUUAUGGACUAAAUAAAUCUGGGGCCCCGGGAGUGGAGUGAGGCGGAAUCUGAGGGGGUGUGGGUUGGCUUCUCAGUCUAACAAAAACUUCGUUUCCAGGAGGAUGGCAUCCACAUCUGCCAGGAGUGGGGACAAAAAGGACAUCAGGUCAUCUCAAGCUGCCGCCUCCUUAGGUGGAGGGCAGGAGAGAGCAAGGGUUGACAGCAUCCCAGCAGGGUAGGGGGAAGUUUUCAACCAUGAAGUUCUAUUCUAUUCCCUCCUGAUGCUCCAGUUCCUGAUUCUCAGCCUAUUCUGUUGUCUUCUGUCAUCUCCAGCUCUGACAAAAAUCGAACCCGAACCAAGGCACACCUUCUGCCAUCUCCUCGUGAAAAGC
rnacentral:lncRNA from 1 species